rnacentral:rRNA from 1 species
AGGGGGGAAGGGGAAGGUAGUUGUGAAGGAAUAUGUAAUAAGUGGAAGUUGGAAAGGGGAAUUUUGAAAGAAGUUGUAAGGAAGGUAAGGGUUGGUGAAUUUGUGAGUGGGUUAAGGGAUGUCUAACCCAUCCGAAAGAUGCCUGGGGAAGAGUACCCAUUUAAAAAAGUAUGAGGAAGGGAUAGUGUGUAGAGGAAAUGAUGCACACUGCUUGGUAGUAAUGCAUUGGAUUCUUCAAUCUGUGUCCAAAUCAACUUGUUACAGAACCCAUCGGUUCAGCCUGCCUGGUGCAAAGGCCAACAAGGCCUACGCAUAUCACAUCAUGGCAUUUGGCUCUGCUUAAUCAGAAUGUGAAAUGGGUACACAGCCUGAAUGACAUCGUGCUGGCUCAUGCACAGGUCAGUUUGCAGUGAAGGUGGUCUUGGAACAAGUUGAAAAUAAGAUGGAGGAACGUACGACGCCAAUAAAGAUUGCUUGUCGCGAGUCCUAGAAUUGACGUCGACGCUACCCCGGACAGAUCGAAUCCAUCGCGAAGUGGCCAGCAGCCGCGGUAAUUCCAGCUCCAAUAGCGUAUAUUUAAGUUGUUGCAGUUAAAAAGCUCGUAGUUGGAUUUCGGGUGGGUUUCAGCGGUCCGCCUAUGGUGAGUACUGCUGUGGCCUAUCUUACUGUCGGGGACCUGCUUCUGGGCUUCAUUGUCCGGGACAGGGAUUUGGCAUGGUUACUUUGAGUAAAUUAGAGUGUUCAAAGCAGGCUUACGCCGUGAAUACUUUAGCAUGGAAUAACAUGAUAGGACUCUGCCCUAUUCUGUUGGCCUGUAGGAGUGGAGUAAUGAUUAAGAGGAACAGUCGGGGGCAUUCGUAUUUCAUUGUCAGAGGUGAAAUUCUUGGAUUUAUGAAAGACGAACUACUG